rnacentral:rRNA from 1 species
GCUCGUAGUUGGAUUUCGGGAUGGGCCAGUCGGUCUGCCGUAAGGUAUGUUACUGGCUGGUCUGUCCUUCUUCGCAAAGACUGCGUGUGCCCUUGAUUGUGUGUGCGUAGGAUUUGCGACGUUUACUUUGAAAAAAUUAGAGUGUUCAAAGCAGGCUGACCGCUUGAAUACAUGAGCAUGGAAUAAUGGAAUAGGACUUUGGUUCUAUUUUGUUGGUUUCUUGAACCGAAGUAAUGAUUAAGAGGGACAGUUGGGGGCAUUCGUAUUUCGUUGUCAGAGGUGAAAUUCUUGGAUUUACGAAAGACGAACAACUGCGAAAGCAUUUGCCAAGAAUGUUUUCAUUAAUCAAGAACGAAAGUUAGAGGCUCGAAGACGAUCAGAUACCGUCCUAGUUCUAACCAUAAACGAUGCCGACUAGGGAUCAGCGGGCGUUAUUUUAUGACCCCGUUGGCACCUUAUGGGAAACCAAAGUUUUUGGGUUCCGGGGGAAGUAUGGUUGCAAAGCUGAAACUUAAAGGAAUUGACGGAAGGGCACCACCAGGAGUGGAGCCUGCG